rnacentral:rRNA from 1 species
ACACGACUACAUUAGAUACCCGCGUAGUCCUAGCCGUAAACGAUACUCGCUAGGUGUCGGCCACGGUGCGACCGUUGUCGGUGCCGUAGGGAAGCCGUGAAGCGAGCCACCUGGAAGUACGGCCGCAAGGCUGAAACUUAAAGGAAUUGGCGGGGAGCACCACAACGGGUGGAGCUUGCGGUUUAAUUGGAUUCAACGCCGGAAAUCUUACCGGGACCGACAGCAACAUGAAGGCCAAGCUGAAGACUUUGCCGGAUUAGCUG